AUGAAGAAUAAACACCAACCUCCUUGUUCCUCGUGUUUUAUUUCUGGUUCCUCGUGUUGUAUUCUCCAGGUUUCUGGUUCCUCGUGUUUUAUUCUCCAGGUUUCUGGUUCCUCGUGUUUUAUUUCUGGUUCCUCGUGUUGUAUUCUCCAGGUUUCUGGUUCCUCGUGUUUUAUUUCUGGUUCCUCGUGUUGUAUUCUCCAGGUUUCUGGUUCCUCGUGUUUUAUUCUCCAGGUUUCCGGUUCCUCAUGUUUUAUUCUCAACAUUUCUGGUUCCUGGUCUUUUAUUGUACAGGUUUCUGGUUCUUCGUUUUUUAUUCUCCAGGUUUCCGGUUCCUCGUGUUUUAUUCUCAACAUUUCUGGUUCCUGGUCUUUUAUUCUCCAGGUUUCUGGUUCCUCGUCUUUUAUUGUGCAGGUUUCUGGUUCCUUGUCUUUUACUCUCCAGGUUUCCGGUUCCUCGUGUUUUAUUCUCAACAUUUCUGGUUCCUGGUCUUUUAUUGUGCAGGUUUCUGGUUCCUGGUCUUUUAUUGUGCAGGUUUCUGGUUCCUCGUCUUUUACUCUCCAGGUUUCCGGUUCCUCGUGUUUUAUUCUCAACAUUUCUGGUUCCUCGUCUUUUAUUCUCCAGGUUUCUGGUUCCUCGUGUUUUAUUCUCAAAAUUUCUGGUUCAUCGUCUUGUAUUGUGCAGGUUUCUGGUUCGCUCGUGUUUUCUUCUCUCUCCGAUUUUACAAACUCCAUCUUCACAGCAGCAGAUCUCAGUUCAGAUGAUAAACUCCUCCAGAUAUUCCUGCUCGCUUCAAAACUCAGUCACGACUGUGAGGACGAGAAUAUUACAGCGCCUCCCGCUGGACUGGAGCGAAGCGAAGAAAGGAAGAAAACCCAGGACGUUGUAAGGAUGUCGCCAGUUCGUCAUCAUUUAGCCCCAAGAGGGUCUGGCUGCAGACAUAUGGGCGAGUGA
rnacentral:lncRNA from 1 species